rnacentral:antisense_RNA from 1 species
CUUUAUGGUGGCCAUGCGUAGGGCGUCCUCGGACGCGCCGGGCUCCUGGGCCGGUCUACCAACCUGUGCAUGGCCACCACCCCU